rnacentral:lncRNA from 10 species
CUGCCGUUUGCUUUCGGGAAGGCGAGCAUUGUUUUCCUCUGGAUGCAAGCUUUUGCUGACCCACACCCCCCUUCCCCAAUGCCUCCGCUUCCCUUCCCCCUUCGGGGACUUGGGAUUGCCCUGCAGACUCCCUGGACUUGAGCGUUUUGGUCUCUGGCUGCAGUGUUUGUGAGAGAGGCUGCGGAUGCGACCCAGCUCCGGCUCAGCUGCGCGCGUUUGCAAAUGCGGCUGCGUCCAGACAGGGCAUGGAACACAUUUCCAAGCUCACGUCCCCGUUUCUUGUUUACAGCUGAGAUUAUAAGCAAUCUAUGUGCCCUCUUAUCAUCGUGUCAGGCAAUGAUAUAUAGUUUGUAAAUAUUAUUUAAAGGAAAUGAUUUGCAAAGGCAAACAAUUUUAAGCAAAGUAUAUGGACCAUGAGGUUUGUCUUUAAUGUACUUACCAGAAGGACAGAGAAGGGGGCUGGGAGACCGGAAAAUUAUGGGGUGAGGUGUGUGGGUGGGGGAAAAGGUGGCGGGGAUGACUCAAAGGAUUCUGGUGAUUCGAUGACAGUGACAUAACUAAUUAAAUGUAAUGUUGCUUAAAAGCCUUUGCUCUCUUUCUGAAAUUGCUCGAAAGUAUGCAUUAUUAAAGAAAAAAAGAUAAUGUAGAAGGAGGGGGACUUAGAAUGACUGAAUACAACUCAUUGUGCUGGCUCAAAAAUGUCAAACUGCAGUGGAAAGAAAUACAGCAUUACAGGCUGGUGCGCUGAGGCCCCAGCUAGGGAAGGGGGAACUGUUAAGUGGAAAAUUCCUGCAGAGGACUCGUUUCCAUUUCCAAUGGGAAGAAAGAGAGUGUUGUUGGAAGCUGGCAGAUCUUUGGAAAAUACAGGGGAGCACAGGGAAAAUGACAAAAAUGAUCUCAUUGAACUCUGAGAAAUCUAGCAAACAAAUAGCUUUAGCCAACCUACCACAUUCUUAUAGUGCCUGUGCCUGCAUACCAAGACUGAGAAAGGAUGAAAUCUCAGCUCUCCCUCUCUCUGGUCCCCCUUGUCUCCUGAGAGGAAAGGAAUGAUGCUUGAGACACUGGCAGCAGCAGAGGAUCAUGACUGUAGAAAUGUGUCUAUGAGUACAUGUGUGCUCCUCAAAUAGACUUGUGUGCUUAGGGAGAUACUUACUUUGCAUCCUGAAUACUAAAAUGAUGGUGCAGCUGUAUUUGUUGAACACUAGAGGAUUUCAGUUUAAGGAGCAUUUUUCUGUCCGAAAGAACCACAAAUCCUAACAGGAGUCACCAGGUUUUGCCACCCAGGGGUGGUCUCUGUUAGUGGGUUUUCUUCUAAGGAUAGCCUGAAUUGCAUCACGAGCAGCUAGGUGAUGGAGCAGGGCGAGAGCAAGCACAUCUCAGAAGCUGUGUGCAGGUGUAUUCGUAUAACCGCGACCAGGAAUUUUAGAAUUAUCAUUACAUGUUCCAGUGGAGAAAAACAGAGACUAAUAAGAAGCCACGUUUUUUCUUAUUCUGUAAAGCUUCUGUCAAGAAGAAAGAAAAAUGCCAGGCAGUGAAUGCACUGCAUGUACACAAAUGAAGUUCAAACGAUCUUCAUUUGCUAUGCUGAUUUUUUCUCUAUCAGAUCCACAGCACACUGACAAGCUAAAGAAA